rnacentral:misc_RNA from 1 species
GAUGAAGAACGUAGCGAAAUGCGAUACGUAGUGUGAAUUGCAGAAUUCAGUGAAUCAUCGAAUCUUUGAACGCACAUUGCACCUCUCGGUAUUCCGGGAGGUAUGCCUGUUCGAGCGUCAUUUGUACCCUCAAGCUCUGCUUGGUGUUGGGUGUUUGUUCCGCCUCUGUGUGUGAACUCGCCUCAAAACAAUUGGCAGCCGGCGUACUUGUUUCGGAGCGCAGCACAUUUUGCGAUCCAGAUCAACGUACAGCGGCAUCCAAGAAGCCUUAUUUAACGCUCUUGACCUCGGAUCAGGUAGGGAUACCCGCUGAACUGAAGCAUAUCAAUAAGCGGAGGA